UACGGAGGGUGCAAGCGUUGUCCGGAUUUAUUGGGUUUAAAGGGUGCGUAGGCGGCUAAUUAAGUCAGUGGUGAAAUACAGCAGCUCAACUGUUGAGGUGCCAUUGAUACUGAAUAGCUUGAGUACAGAUGAGGUAGGCGGAAUUUAUGGUGUAGCGGUGAAAUGCAUAGAUACCAUAAAGAACACCGAUUGCGAAGGCAGCUUACUAAGCUG
rnacentral:rRNA from 1 species